AUUGAACGCUGGCGGCAGGCUUAACACAUGCAAGUCGAGCGGGGGAAGGUAGCUUGCUACCGGACCUAGCGGCGGACGGGUGAGUAAUGCUUAGGAAUCUGCCUAUUAGUGGGGGACAACAUCUCGAAAGGGAUGCUAAUACCGCAUACGUCCUACGGGAGAAAGCAGGGGAUCUUCGGACCUCGCGCUAAUAGAUGAGCCUAAGUCGGAUUAGCUAGUUGGUGGGGUAAAGGCCUACCAAGGCGACGAUCUGUAGCGGGUCUGAGAGGAUGAUCCGCCACACUGGGACUGAGACACGGCCCAGACUCCUACGGGAGGCAGCAGUGGGGAAUAUUGGACAAUGGGGGGAACCCUGGUCCAGCCAUGCCGCGUGUGUGAAGAAGGCCUUAUGGUUGUAAAGCACUUUAAGCGAGGAGGAGGCUACUCUAGUUAAUACCUAGGGAUAGUGGACGUUACUCGCAGAAUAAGCACCGGCUAACUCUGUGCCAGCAGCCGCCGCCG
rnacentral:rRNA from 1 species